rnacentral:rRNA from 1 species
AUUGAACGCUGGCGGCAGGCCUAACACAUGCAAGUCGAGCGAGCGGCGGACGGGUGAGUAAUGUCUGGGAAACUGCCUGAUGGAGGGGGAUAACUACUGGAAACGGUAGCUAAUACCGCAUACCAUCAGAUUUUCCCAGAUGGGAUUAGCUAGUAGGGGGGGUAACGGCUCACCUAGGCGACGAUCCCUAGCUGGUCUGAGAGGAUGACCAGCAACAUGGGAAUGAGGACACGGCCCGGAUCCUGAGGGGAGGAGGCGGGGGGAAAUAUUGCAAAUGGGGGGAAAUCCGGAGGCAGCACGGCGGCGGGGGUGAGGAAGGCCUUCGGGUUGUAAAGUACUUUCAGCGGGGAGGCGUUACCCGAAGAGGAAGCACCGGCUAACUCCGUGCCAGCAGCCGCGGUAAUAC